GAGUUUGAACCUGGCUCAGGAUGAACGCUGGCGGCGUGCCUAACACAUGCAAGUCGAACGGAUCCAUAUCGAAACCUAGUGAUGUAUGGAUUAGUGGCGGACGGGUGAGUAACGCGUGGAUAACCUGCCGUAUACGGGGGGAUAACACUUAGAAAUAGGUGCUAAUACCGCAUAAGCGCACGGUUCCGCAUGGAACAGUGUGAAAAACUCCGGUGGUAUACGAUGGAUCCGCGUCUGAUUAGCCAGUUGGCGGGGUAACGGCCCACCAAAGCGACGAUCAGUAGCCGGCCUGAGGGGGUGAACGGCCACAUUGGGACUGAGACACGGCCCAAACUCCUACGGGAGGCAGCAGUGGGGAAUAUUGCACAAUGGGGGAAACCCUGAUGCAGCGACGCCGCGUGAGUGAAGAAGUAUCUCGGUACGUAAAGCUCUAUCAGCAGGGAAGAAAAAAAGUCCUUUGGACUUUGGACGGUACCUGACCAAGAAGCCCCGGCUAACUACGUGCCAGCAGCCGCGGUAAUACGUAGGGGGCAAGCGUUAUCUGGAUUUACUGGGUGUAAAGGGAGCGUAGACGGCAGCGCAAGUCUGGAGUGAAAUGCCGGGGCCCAACCCCGGAACUGCUUUGGAAACUGUGCAGCUCGAGUGCAGGAGAGGUAAGCGGAAUUCCUAGUGUAGCGGUGAAAUGCGUAGAUAUUAGGAGGAACACCAGUGGCGAAGGCGGCUUACUGGACUGUAAC
rnacentral:rRNA from 1 species